UACGGAGGGGCUAGCGUUGUUCGGAUUUACUGGGCGUAAAGGGCGCGUAGGCGGAUGUUCGCGUCAGAGGUGAAAGGCUACGGCUCAACCGUAGUAAGCUUUUGAAACUGUAAGACUUGAGUGCAGGAGAGGAGAGUGGAAUUCCUAGUGUAGCGGUGAAAUGCGUAGAUAUUAGGAGGAACACCAGUUGCGAAGGCGGCUCUCUGGACUGUAACUGACGCUGAGGCACGAAAGCGUGGGGAGCAAACAGGAUUAGAUACCCCGGUAGUCCCU
rnacentral:rRNA from 1 species